rnacentral:rRNA from 1 species
GACGAACGCUGGCGGCGUGCUUAACACAUGCAAGUCGAGGGCACUCCUUCGGGGGUGACCGGCGAACGGGUGCGUAACACGUGAGCAACCUGCCCGCUUGUGGGGAAUAGCCGGCCCAAC